UACGUAGGGUGCGAGCGUUAAUCGGAAUUACUGGGCGUAAAGCGUGCGCAGGCGGUUAUAUAAGUCAGAUGUGAAAUCCCCGGGGCUCAACCCCGGAACUGCAUCCGAUACUACCAUGCUAGAGUAUUGGAGGGGUAACUGGAAUUCUCGGUGUAGCAGUGAAAUGCGUAGAUAUCGAGAGGAACACUCGUGGCGAAAGCGAGUUACUGGACAAUUACUGACGCUGAGGCUCGAAGGCUAGGGGAGCAAAAGGG
rnacentral:rRNA from 1 species